rnacentral:lncRNA from 1 species
UUGGGCCUGACCUGAAAGAGAGUGAGAUCUUUCUUCUCUGCAGGUUACCAUGGACUUGGUGUUCUGCCUCACCAGCAGCCUAGAAUACAGGCGCUAAGGGCUGUACAUGGAAACCGGGAACUGUACUGAAUCUCCAUCCCUUUGUCAACAUACAGAUACAGCGUCUAGCAGAGGAAAUGCAUUCCACCAACGUAAAUAACCACAGCAGAUGGCUUAAGAUAUGUAUUUGAUGAUCUCCUACUGUAGCCAACAAUAAAUAGAGUUCUGUUUCUCACAAA